rnacentral:lncRNA from 1 species
ACUUAAUUACAUAAUAACCCCUCAAACACUAUUCACUCCAGGCAGUUCGAAAUCUGAUAUCUUUCGCCGGAGCUUCCUGAAUAUCCGUUUCAGCUCAAAUUUGACAGUCAUAUUCGAUUUUACUUAACGAAUCCAAAAAAAAUUUAAUAUUUCAGUUUCGACCCCGUUUGAUCACCGAAAACUGUACUAAACUGUAAUCUUUAUCAGAUAGUUGUUGGAUUUUAUUUUCCACCUUCCGGGUGUCAAAAUGACAUGAAACUUUAAACCUAGUCUCAUAAAAAUAAUUCUGACUUAUCCACCAGUUUUCAUAAUUUUCUGACACUGUGCAUUUUCUGCUAAUUUAUCUGUCCUGUUUCCAACAAAAAAUUUUAAAUCCUCUGUUUUUAUUCCGAUUUCAGCACAAGUUACUUUUGACUUAUGUUUUACUUUUCUAAAUUCAAUAAAAAUAAUAUCUCACACUAUUUUUAUUUAUUUUUAUUUUUAUACCAAAAUCUGGUUUGUUACAUUCUUCACUCCUUAAAAGAAUUUCGUCCGCGAAAUUCAAACUACGCCUCAAUUCAGCUCCGCGA